AGCUACCAUGCAGUCGAACGGCAGCACAGGANAGCUUGCUCUCUGGGUGGCGAGUGGGGGACGGGUGAGGAAUACGUCGGACUCUACUCUGUCGUGGGGGAUAACGUNGGGAAACUUACNCUAAUACCGCAUACGACCUACAGGUGAAAGCNGGGGACCUUCGGGCCUUGCNCGAUUGAAUGAGCCGAUGUCGGAUUAUCUAGUUGGCGGGGUAAAGGCCCACCANGGACACUAUCCGUAUCUGGUCUGAGAGGAUGAUCACCCACACUGGAACUGAGACACGGCCCACACUCCUACGGGAGGCAGCAGUGGGGAAUAUUGGACAAUGGGCGCAAGCCNGAUCCACCCAUACCGCGUGGGUGAANAAGGCCUUCGGGUUGUAANGCCCUUUUGUUGGAAAAGAAAUCCANCUGGCUAAUACCCGGUUGGGAUGACGGUACCCAAAGAAUAAGCACCGGCUAACUAUCGUGCCAGCAGCCGCGGUAAUACAAAGGGUGCAAGCGUUACUCANAAUUACUGGGCGUAAAGCAUGCGUAGGUGGUCGGUUUAAGUCCGUUGUGAAAGCCCUGGGCUCAACCUGGGAACUGCAGUGGAUACUGGGCGACUAGAUUGUGGUAGGGGGGUAGCGUANUUCCUGGUGUAGCAGUGAAAUGCGUAGAGAUCAGGAGGAACAUCNAUGGCGAAGGCCGCUACCUGGACCAACACUGACACUGAGGCACGAAAGCGUGGGGAGCAAACAGGAUUAGAUACCCUGGUANUCGACGCCCUAGACGAUGCGAACUGGAUGUUGCGUGCAAUUUGGC
rnacentral:rRNA from 1 species